UUUACAUCUGAAAGAACAUUAAAGGUUCUAAAUUCCUACUUGCAGUGUCUUUAUGAAUUAAUUUUCCAAAAAAGGAGCAAAUAGUGUUCAGAGGGUGUUUUCAGCUAGUUCAACAAAGAAGCACAGUUCAAAGAGAUUGUAAAAUGGACCUUCAGAGUCUGGGGGCGUUAAGGGCAAAGAGCCCAGUCUGGUUUGAGGAAUCUCCAGCAGAACAUUACGGGUGAAGGCUGCGUAUAAGAGUCCUCGGUUUGGCAGAUGAAUUUUGAAUACACUGCUCAAGUCCCAGGGCCUGAGUAGCAACCGUAGCCCCAGCAACCACAGUGAGUGUGUCCAUCUGGAACUGGAGUAGAUGCAGGAGCACCUACAUCUACAAGCAGGAGCAUGAGUGGCCUAUUCAGUUUCUCUGUAAUGGUCCAUCCAGAGCUAGGGCAUCCGAACGGAUCAGGCAGGUCCGGAGAGAAGAAAGUAUCAGGAUCUCCAGCAUCUCCAUAAAAUCAUGUGUGGCCCGACAGAAGGAGAGAGGAAGAGAUUGUUAAGUAAAACUGUGCUUUGCAUGAAAGAAAGUCUACUCAUGGUCUUCUCUACAUCUCAGUAUGCCUUCUUUAAUCAUGCAUUGAGGAAUAAAAUCUAGCAGGGUAGACACGGCUUGGCGUCUCUCCACUGGAGGCGUGUGACAGUGACUUUGAUCUCACGGCGA
ensembl:lncRNA